rnacentral:rRNA from 1 species
UGCUAGUUGUGCGGGUUUAGACCCGCAGCGGAAAGCUCAGUAACACGUGGUCAAACUACCCUGUGGAUGGGAACAAUCUCGGGAAACUGAGGCUAAUUCCCAAUAACGCUCCACCCCUGGAACGGGCGGAGCUGGAAACGCUACGGCGCCACAGGAUGUGGCUGCGGUCGAUUAGGUAGACGGUGGGGUAACGGCCCACCGUGCCAAUAAUCGGUACGGGUUGUGAGAGCAAGAGCCCGGAGACGGAAUCUGAGACAAGAUUCCGGGCCCUACGGGGCGCAGCAGGCGCGAAACCUUUACACUGUACGCAAGUGCGAUAAGGGGACUCCGAGUGUGAAGGCAUAGAGCCUUCACUUUUGUACACCGUAAGGUGGUGUACGAAUAAGGGCUGGGCAAGACCGGUGCCAGCCGCCGCGGUAAUACCGGCAGCCCGAGUGAUGGCCGAUAUUAUUGGGCCUAAAGCGUCCGUAGCUGGCCGGACAAGUCCGUUGGGAAAUCUGUUCGCUUAACGAGCAGGCGUCCAGCGGAAACUGUUCGGCUUGGGACCGGAAGACCUGAGGGGUACGUCCGGGGUAGGAGUGAAAUCCUGUAAUCCUGGACGGACCACCGGUGGCGAAAGCGCCUCAGGAGGACGGAUCCGACAGUGAGGGACGAAAGCUAGGGUCUCGAACCGGAUUAGAUACCCGGGUAGUCCUAGCUGUAAACGAUGCCCGCUA